rnacentral:rRNA from 1 species
GACGAACGCUGGCGGCGCGCUUAACACAUGCAAGUCGAACGGUAAGGCCCUUCGGGGUACACGAGCGGCGAACGGGUGAGUAACACGUGGGUGAUCUGCCCUGCACUUCGGGAUAAGCCUGGGAAACUGGGUUUAAUACCGGAUAGGACCACUGCCUGCAUGGGUGGUGGUGGAAAGCUUUUGCGGUGUGGGAUGGGCCCGCGGCCUAUCAGCUUGUUGGUGGGGUGAUGGCCUACCAAGGCGACGACGGGUAGCCGGCCUGAGAGGGUGACCGGCCACACUGGGACUGAGAUACGGCCCAGACUCCUACGGGAGGCAGCAGUGGGGAAUAUUGCACAAUGGGCGCAAGCCUGAUGCAGCGACGCCGCGUGAGGGAUGACGGCCUUCGGGUUGUAAACCUCUUUCAGCACCGACGAAGCGCAAGUGACGGUAGGUGCAGAAGAAGGACCGGCCAACUACGUGCCAGCAGCCGCCGCGG